rnacentral:rRNA from 1 species
UACGAAGGGUGCAAGCGUUACUCGGAAUUACUGGGCGUAAAGAGCUCGUAGGCGGUUUGUCGCGUCUGCUGUGAAAACCCGAGGCUCAACCUCGGGCCUGCAGUGGGUACGGGCAGACUAGAGUGCGGUAGGGGAGAUUGGAAUUCCUGGUGUAGCGGUGGAAUGCGCAGAUAUCAGGAGGAACACCAAUGGCGAAGGCAGAUCUCUGGGCCGUAACUGACGCUGAGGAGCGAAAGCAUGGGGAGCGAACAGG